CUUCUGAUCCUGAGACUGAUGACAGUGCUGAUUGGAAGGAGACCAGAGAACCUCAGUCAGCUUUAAACUCUCUGAAACAUGAUUCAAGAUGUAAGAAAACAUUCAGCUGCUCUGAGUGUGGGAGAACAUUUGGGACCAAGGCACACCUGAAGAGACACAUGAUAACUCAUACAGGAGAGAGGCCUUUCAUCUGCUCAGUGUGUAGGAAAUCUUUUACACAGAGUGGAGAUUUACAGAGACACGCAAUAAUUCACACUGGAGAGAAAACUUUCAGCUGCUCUGAGUGUGGGAGAAGAUUUGGCCGCAAGCAACAUCUGAAUAGACACGUGAUGACUCACACAGGAGAAAAACCUUUCAGCUGCUUCGUCUGUAAGAAAUCUUUUACACACAGUGCAAAUUUAGGCCCACACAUGACAGUCCACACAGGGGAAAAAAGAUUUAGCUGCGGUGUUUGUGAAAAGACAUUUCAGUGGCGUACUCAGGUCAAAAGACAUAAAUGUGUCGGUCGUAAGUCGUCACAGCUUCAUCAGAGUCAAACAGAGGAGAACCGAGAUGCAGAGCCUCCAGCCAGCAGAGAAACUCAACGCAUGGAAACAGAAGCUGAUGGAGAGGACUUGUUGGGGCUUUGGAAAUUAUAGAGUGUGGUCUAGACCUACUCUAUCUGUAAAGUGUCUCGAGAUAACUCUUGUUAUGAUUUGAUACUAUAAAUAAAAUUGAAUUGAAUUGACUGUGGAGGACCAGAACCAGCCAGGAACUCGCAUCCAUUAAGGACCUUAUGCCGUUGCCUGACGUGCACCUCUCAAAAAAUGGCAGACAAAAUAGUGGCUUGUUGGUUUAAUUGAGAGCCCACACAGGGAGGAGGGGCCUGAGGGGAGGGACAAAGAGGCGUGGUGUACAGGUAAUUUGCAUAGGCUACUGGGAGAGACCGCAGCUCCACAGGCAUCCUCACAGAUUACCCAUAUCUGCAAUGGCUUCCACAAGUUCACCUGGAACCUCCAAAUCUCAAGAUAUACAAGAUCUUUUCUUGGAGGGG